AGGUGUUCCUGUAGGCAGUGGCCUCCCAGCUUCUCAUCCGGAUGCCAUUGUUGUGCCUCAGGGGCAUGCCAGGGAGCUUCCAAGCGUGUCACAGCCUGGAGAAGCCCCCCACGGCAGGAAAUACUCCUUUUUUCCAGUGCACCGAGGUCUUGGUGGUGGCAAAGAUGCCGAGGCUGCAGCUCCUAAAGGCCGACAAAAGCAGCGUUUGGUCCUGAGUGCCGCAGUCUUGGGUUCCGUACUGUUUGUCGUCCUGCUGAUGUGUAUAGUUACUUUCUGGCUGAGGAAGAGAAAGCAAGAAGCGGUACCAGCUAACCCUGCCGCUGCCUCCAACAGAGGGGAGUCAAGCACAGAGGAAGGCAGAG